UACAGAGGGGGCAAGCGUUGUUCGGAAUUACUGGGCGUAAAGGGCGCGUAGGCGGCCGCCUAAGUCAGACGUGAAAUCCCUCGGCUUAACCGGGGAACUGCGUCUGAUACUGGAUGGCUUGAGUUCGGGAGAGGGAUGCGGAAUUCCAGGUGUAGCGGUGAAAUGCGUAGAUAUCUGGAGGAACACCGGUGGCGAAGGCGGCAUCCUGGACCGACACUGACACUGAGGAGCGAAAGCCAGGGGAGCAAACGGG
rnacentral:rRNA from 1 species